rnacentral:rRNA from 1 species
CGGACGGGUGAGUAACACGUGGAUAACCUACCUAUAAGACUGGGAUAACUUCGGGAAACCGGAGCUAAUACCGGAUAAUAUAUUGAACCGCAUGGUUCAAUAGUGAAAGACGGUUUUGCUGUCACUUAUAGAUGGAUCCGCGCCGCAUUAGCUAGUUGUAAGGUAACGGCUUACCAAGGCAACGAUGCGUAGCCGACCUGAGAGGGUGAUCGGCCACACUGGAACUGAGACACGGUCCAGACUCCUACGGGAGGCAGCAGCC